AUCGCUUCUCGGCCUUUUGGCUAAGAUCAAGUGUAGUAUCUGUUCUUAUCAGUUUAAAAUUAUUGUAAGUAAAUAUGGUCUAGGUGAAGCCUAGUAAGUUUAGGGUAACAGAUUUGCUUCUCUGUAUAUAUUUUUAAAGCUGCACAGAUUUUGUGAGCUACUUUUGAGUUUACAGAUUUUGGUACUAUUUAUAACUCCCUGUUGUCUGUAUUCCUA
rnacentral:snRNA from 1 species